GAUGAACGCUGGCGGCGUGCUUAACACAUGCAAGUCGAACGGAAAGGCUCCUGCUUGCCGGGGUACUCGAGUGGCGAACGGGUGAGUAACACGUGGGUGAUCUGCCCUGCACUUCGGGAUAAGCCUGGGAAACUGGGUCUAAUACCGGAUAGGACGAUGGUUUGGAUGCCAUUGUGGAAAGUUUUUCGGUGUGGGAUGAGCUCGCGGCCUAUCAGCUUGUUGGUGGGGUAAUGGCCUACCAAGGCGUCGACGGGUAGCCGGCCUGAGAGGGUGUACGGCCACAUUGGGACUGAGAUACGGACCAGACUCCUACGGGAGGCAGCAGUGGGGAAUAUUGCACAAUGGGCGCAAGCCUGAUGCAGCGACGCCGCGUGGGGGAUGACGGCCUUCGGGUUGUAAACUCCUUUCGCUAGAGACGAAGCGCAAGUGACGGUACCUGGAGAAGAAGCACCGGCUAACUACGUG
rnacentral:rRNA from 1 species